GAAGUCCUACGGGGCGCAGCAGUGGGGAAUAUUGGGCAAUGGGCGAAAGCCUGACCCAGCAAUGCCGUGUGAAGGAAGAAGGCCCUCGGGUUGUAAACUUCUUUUAUCAGGGACGAAGGAUGUGACGGUACCUGAUGAAUAAGCUCCGGCUAACUACGUGCCAGCCGCCGCGGUAAUACGUAGGGAGCAAGCGUUAUCCGGCUUUACUGGGAGAAAAGGGCGCGUAGGCGGGAUGGCAAGUCAGAUGUGCAAUCCAGGGGCUCAA
rnacentral:rRNA from 1 species